rnacentral:lncRNA from 1 species
AUGGCGUGCCUGGGUCUCCUCCUCUUUUUCCUCCUCCUCUUCCUCCUGGCCAGCACCGGGGCCCAGGGGGAGUAUGGCGUGGUCCACGUGGUGUCGGACAACUGGAGCAAGGACUACUGCAUUCUCUUCCGCUCCGACUACGUCACCCUGCCCCGGGACCUGCAGCACGCCCCACUCCUGCCCCUGCACGAUGGCACGGGCUCACCCUGGUGCCCAGGCCAGGACUCCUCCCACCAGGCCCACCCAGACGGCUCCGCCAGCCAGCGGCCCCUCCACCGGACCACCGCCAUGGUCAUGAGGGGCAACUGCAGCUUCUACGACAAGGGCUGGCUGGCUCAGGGCCGAGGCGCCCACGGGUUGCUCAUCGUGAGCCGGGUCAGCGGCCAACAGUGCUCAGACAUCACCCCGGCGGCCCAGAACCCCCGCAAGCCCCUCCCAGACCUCACCAUCCCCGUGGCCGUGCUCCGCUACACCGACAUGCUGGACAUCCUCAGCCACACCCACGGGGGCAAUGGGGUCCACGUGGCCUUGUACGCCCCCCCAGAGCCCAUCCUAGACUACAACAUGGUGGUCAUCUUCCUCCUGGCCGUGGGCACCGUGGCCGUGGGCGGCUACUGGGCCGGCGUGACUGAGGCUGACCGGCUGCAGCGGCGCCGGGCGCGAGGGGGCGGGGGGCCCGGCGGUCACCCUCCACGGGGAGCCCUGGCGGCCCGGUGGGGGCUCAGAGAAGACGACGAGGAGUCGCCGGUGGACUUCACGCCGGCCAUGACGGGCGCGGUGGUCACCAUGUCCUGCUCCAUCAUGCUGCUGCUCUAUUUCUUCUACGACUGCUUCGUCUACGUCAUGAUUGCCAUCUUCGGGCUGGGCGCGGGCACCGGCCUCUACAGCUGCCUGCUGCCCGUGGUGCGCCACCUGCCCGUGUGGCGGGACCAGUGGCUCCUGCCCGGCCGCCGAGCCUGUCUGCAGCUGCCCCUGCUGCUGCUGGCUGGCCUGUGCCUGGUGGUGACGGUCCUCUGGGUCGCCUACCGGAACGAGGACCGCUGGGCGUGGCUGCUGCAGGACACGCUGGGCGUGGCCUACUGCCUCUUCGUCCUACGGCGCAUGCGCCUGCCCACCCUCAAGAGCUGCGCCUCCUUCCUGCUGGCCCUGCUAGUCUUCGACGUCUUCUUCGUCUUCGUCACGCCGUUGCUCACCAGGACCGGCGAGAGCAUCAUGGUUGGAGUGGCCUCGGGCCCAGCAGAUUCCUUGAGCCAUGAGAGGCUGCCCAUGGUCCUCAAGGUGCCCCGGCUGAGCUUCUCGGCCUUGACCCUGUGUGACCAGCCCUUCUCUAUCCUCGGUUUUGGUGACAUCGUGGUCCCCGGCUUCCUGGUGGCCUACUGUCACCGCUUUGAUGUGCAUAUACGCUCACGGCAGGUCUACUUCGUGGCCUGCACAGUGGCCUACGCUGUGGGCCUGCUGGUCACCUUCUUUGCCAUGGCCCUCAUGCAGAUGGGCCAGCCUGCCCUGCUCUACCUGGUGUCCAGCACGCUGCUCACCAGCCUGGCCGUGGCCGCCUGCCGCCAAGAGCUCACCCUCUUCUGGACAGGCCAGGUUAGAGCCAAGGCCCUCGCCCGGCCUGUGCCAGGGCUCUGCGGCGCCCCUUCAGUUGGUUCUGAGCGGAAGCGGGAGCAUGCAGCAGACAUCCACAGAGCCUUUGAGCUCGAGGGGGCCGCCAUCUCCACCCUGGCAGGAGACUUAGAUAGCAGCCUUGGGGAGGGCAUGGCUGAGACUGUCACCAUAUCUGAGGAUGAAGCGACCAGUCCAGAAGGCCACAGUGACAGCUCUGAGGGCUGGAGCAAUGCCAACCUGGAGCCCGAUGACCUGUCGAGUACCCCUUCUGGGGUCUCAGAGGAGUUCUUACCACUGGUGCCAAUCGCCAUGCUGAUACCGCUCAGGCCGCCGCCCUCAGAGCUGGGCCAGGCCCUGGCCCAGGCCCAUGAGGCCAGCCUGCCCUGUACAGGCUUCCACAAGAGGAAGGGCCUUAAGGUGAAGAAGAGCAUAUUGACCCAAGAUCCCUUGUGA